rnacentral:rRNA from 1 species
AUGGUCGGGAUGUACCAGAAGCAGCUCCUCGACGCCCCCUUCGCCCUAAACGGCCACUGCGCUGACCAGCCACGCCACGCGCCGGCCGCCGCCGCCGCCGCCCCCUCGCCGUAUCCGCCCAACCCCUCCUCCUCCUCCUCGGGCGCUGCGCCCUCGCCGCACGCGCAGGCGGAUGGCGCCGGCCAGCCCCGUCGGCUGUUCCAGGCGCUCGUCGGGGGGAUCCUGCAGCGCGGCGCCGGAGGCGGCAACAGCGCGGCUGGGGAUCUGGAGGCGCUGGUGUCGUGGGCGCGGGAGGUCGCCGUGGAUCCCUGCGCGAAGCGGCCGGCGGACAGGCCGAGGAAGCGGCAGGUGCUGGCCUUGCGGCGCGCGCGCUACCUCAAGAUGGAGGACGUGGCGGACCAGGCCGAACUCCCCAGCUUCUCCAAGAAAAGGAAGUACAAAACUAAGAACCAGUCAGAAAGACCAAGGAAAGGGCCAACCCCAACAAGGAAAUCCGAGAGGCUAGCUAGGAGAAUGGUACUCAUGACAUCAGUGCUUCUCACGCAAAGGAAAAAGAUUGGAGUUGGUGAGCAGUUUCAGGCUGAGAUACCUGACUGGACUGGGCCACCUUCAGAAGCAGAGCUUUCUUGGUACAGGAAUGACCCGAACACCUCAAAGAUGCUAGGAAGCAGAACUUGGCCACCUGAAGGUUAUGUCUUACAGACAAAUAUUGUGGUAGCUGGACAGGGAAGGCCUGAAUCAUGCAAUUGUCCAUAUCCAGGAAACUUCUAUUGCAGAUUACAUCACAUCAACACCGCCAGGGAUCGGCUAAGGUCUGAAAUUGGUCAAGUUUUCACGGAAUGGAAAUUUGAUUUGAUGGGUGAGCAGGUUUCUAAGAUGUGGAGUAUUGAGGAGCAACUAAAGUUUGCUGCACUUGAGCAGUUGGUUCCUGUGUUUGAAAAUAAGAGUUUUUGGGCGGUAGCGGCAAAACAUUUUGCCUCGAAGACCAGGGUGGACUUGGUGCAGUACUACCUCAAUGUUUUCCUCAUGAGAAGAGUUUCAAACCAGUGCAGGUUGAGUCUGUUGGAGAUUGAUAGUGAUGAGGAUGAAGCAGAGGAAGAGGAGGAUGAAGAUCAAUCUGAUGGCUCCAAUUCGUCCCAGAGGCCCCAGGAUGUCCAAGAGGUGAAGAAGAUUUUCUGA